UGAGGGAAUAUUUGGGUCAAUGGGGCGAGAGCCUGAACCAGCCAAGUAGCGUGCAGGACGACGGCCCUAUGGGUUGUAAACUGCUUUUAUAAGGGAAUAAAGUGGGUCACGUGUGACUUUUUGCAUGUACCUUAUGAAUAAGGACCGGCUAAUUCCGUGCCAGCAGCCGCGGUAAUACGGAAGGUCCAGGCGUUAUCCGGAUUUAUUGGGUUUAAAGGGAGCGUAGGCGGGCUAUUAAGUCAGCUGUGAAAUCCGGCGGCUCAACCGUCGGCCUGCAGUUGAUACUGGUGGCCUUGAGUGCGCGCAGGGGUGU
rnacentral:rRNA from 1 species